GGUGUGUAACUCGGUGGUAGAGCGCUAGCCUAGCAUGCGUGAGGUCGUGGGUUCCAUCCUCAGCACCCG
rnacentral:tRNA from 1 species